ACUCCUACGGGAGGCAGCAGUCGGGAAUUUUGCGCAAUGGACGAAAGUCUGACGCAGCAACGCCGCGUGAGGGAUGAAGGCCUUCGGGUUGUAAACCUCUUUUGUCAGGGACGAUGAUGACGGUACCUGGCGAAUAAGCCACGGCUAACUACGUGCCAGCAGCCGCGGUAACACGUAGGGGGCAAGCGUUGUCCGGAUUUAUUGGGCGUAAAG
rnacentral:rRNA from 1 species